rnacentral:rRNA from 1 species
AGUGAACGCUGGCGGUAGGCCUAACACAUGCAAGUCGAACGGCAGCACGGGAGAGCUUGCUCUCUGGGUGGCGAGUGGCGGACGGGUGAGGAAUACAUCGGAAUCUACUCUGUCGUGGGGGAUAACGUAGGGAAACUUACGCUAAUACCGCAUACGACCUACGGGUGAAAGCAGGGGACCUUCGGGCCUUGCGCGAUUGAAUGAGCCGAUGUCGGAUUAGCUAGUUGGCGGGGUAAAGGCCCACCAAGGCGACGAUCCGUAGCUGGUCUGAGAGGAGGACCAGCCACACUGGAACUGAGACACGGUCCAGACUCCUACGGGAGGCAGCAGUGGGGAAUAUUGGACAAUGGGCGCAAGCCUGAUCCAGCCAUACCGCGUGGGUGAAGAAGGCCUUCGGGUUGUAAAGCCCUUUUGUUGGGAAAGAAAUCCAGCUGGUUAAUACCCGGUUGGGAUGACGGUACCCAAAGAAUAAGCACCGGCUAACUUCGUGCCAGCCGCCGCCGUAA